UUUGCUCUUCAUUUCAACAUGUCUUUUCCUCUUACUCUUUGUGAUUUUCACUUGAUCCUUUUGAGUUUUGAUUCCAAAGUUCUUAAGAGACAGAGAUCCUAUUGGCUGGUGCAAGACCAUAGCAGUUGUGUGUGUGUGUGUGUGUGUGUGUGAGAGAGAGAGAGAGAGAGAGAGGGAGAGGGAGAGGGAGAGGGAGAGGGAGAGGGAGAGGGAGGAGAGGGAGAGGGAGAGGGAGAGGGAGAGGGAGAGGGAGAGCGCUGAGUCACUGUCUCCCAUUUCUGGCUUCGCUUCUCACAUCCACAACCCAUGUGCUCUACUUCCAUUUUUUCCUCUCAUUCCUGUUCCAAGCACAUCUGAAGGGCCCUCCAGACUAAGACUCCACCAUGAGCACCUUUCACCUUGCACUUCCCCGACCCUGCUUCCCUUGUCCAGGACUACCAACAGGAUGCUGGACCAGGCUGAGCUGGACAGCCAUAGCCAGGUAGCCAGUUGGAUCCCUCUCCAGUGAUAACAAAGGUCUGGAGUCUCAGAGGGCUUUUCCUAGGACAAGACGUACCUCCAGAUCAAGAAAUUAUUUCAGCUGUGGCAUGAUCAACAAGUUCUGGAGCGGAAGGAAACCUUUCUAAACCACAAAUAACAAAAAACAUCUAUCUAUUAUGUCAGAAGACAAAGUUGUCUUUCUAUUCUCUGUACAUAAAAUGGCAUUGUAAAAUUUUUACCAUGUGAAAAAAGAUCAAUGAGUAUAACGCCAAAAAUAUAGGGAAAAGAUGUAUUACAUAGAUGGGUCAGCACUUAAGUUGUAAUUGUAGCAAAAAUUGUUAAUUAAAAC
rnacentral:lncRNA from 9 species